rnacentral:rRNA from 1 species
CCCGCAAGGGGAGCGGCAGACGGGUGAGUAACGCGUGGGAAUCUACCUUUUGCUACGGAAUAACGCAGGGAAACUUGUGCUAAUACCGUAUGUGUCCUUCGGGAGAAAGAUUUAUCGGCAAGAGAUGAGCCCGCGUUGGAUUAGCUAGUUGGUGGGGUAAAGGCCUACCAAGGCGACGAUCCAUAGCUGGUCUGAGAGGAUGAUCAGCCACAUUGGGACUGAGACACGGCCCAAACUCCUACGGGAGGCAGCAGUGGGGAAUAUUGGACAAUGGGCGCAAGCCUGAUCCAGCCAUGCCGCGUGAGUGAUGAAGGCCCUAGGGUUGUAAAGCUCUUUCACCGGAGAAGAUAAUGACGGUAUCCGGAGAAGAAGCCCCGGCUAACUUCGUGCCAGCAGCCGCGGUAAUACGAAGGGGGCUAGCGUUGUUCGGAAUUACUGGGCGUAAAGCGCACGUAGGCGGAUCGAUCAGUCAGGGGUGAAAUCCCAGGGCUCAACCCUGGAACUGCCUUUGAUACUGUCGAUCUGGAGUAUGGAAGAGGUGAGUGGAAUUCCGAGUGUAGAGGUGAAAUUCGUAAAUAUUCGGAGGAACACCACUGGCGAA